rnacentral:rRNA from 1 species
GACGAACGCUUGCGGCGUGCUUAACACAUGCAAGUCGAACGGAAAGGCCCUGCUUUUGUGGGGUGCUCGAGUGGCGAACGGGUGAGUAACACGUGAGUAACCUGCCCUUGACUUUGGGAUAACUUCAGGAAACUGGGGCUAAUACCGGAUAGGAGCUCCUGCUGCAUGGUGGGGGUUGGAAAGUUUCGGCGGUUGGGGAUGGACUCGCGGCUUAUCAGCUUGUUGGUGGGGUAGUGGCUUACCAAGGCUUUGACGGGUAGCCGGCCUGAGAGGGUGACCGGCCACAUUGGGACUGAGAUACGGCCCAGACUCCUACGGGAGGCAGCAGUGGGGAAUAUUGCACAAUGGGCGGAAGCCUGAUGCAGCAACGCCGCGUGCGGGAUGACGGCCUUCGGGUUGUAAACCGCUUUCGCCUGUGACGAAGCGUGAGUGACGGUAAUGGGUAAAGAAGCACCGGCUAACUACGUGCCAGCAGCCGCGGUGAUACGUAGGGUGCGAGCGUUGUCCGGAUUUAUUGGGCGUAAAGGGCUCGUAGGUGGUUGAUCGCGUCGGAAGUGUAAUCUUGGGGCUUAACCCUGAGCGUGCUUUCGAUACGGGUUGACUUGAGGAAGGUAGGGGAGAAUGGAAUUCCUGGUGGAGCGGUGGAAUGCGCAGAUAUCAGGAGGAACACCAGUGGCGAAGGCGGUUCUCUGGGCCUUUCCUGACGCUGAGGAGCGAAAGCGUGGGGAGCGAACAGGCUUAGAUACCCUGGUAGUCCACGCUGUAAACGGUGGGUACUAGGUGUGGGGUCCAUUCCACGGGUUCCGUGCCGUAGCUAACGCUUUAAGUACCCCGCCUGGGGAGUACGGCCGCAAGGCUAAAACUCAAAGGAAUUGACGGGGCCCCGCACAAGCGGCGGAGCAUGCGGAUUAAUUCGAUGCAACGCGUAGAACCUUACCUGGGUUUGACAUGGAUCGGGAGUGCUCAGAGAUGGGUGUGCCUCCUUUGGGGUCGGUUCACAGGUGGUGCAUGCCUGUCGUCAGCUCGUGUCGUGAGAUGUUGGGUUAAGUCCCGCAACGAGCGCAACCCUUGUUCACUGUUGCCAGCACGUUAUGGUGGGGACUCAGUGGAGACCGCCGGGGUCAACUCGGAGGAAGGUGGGGAUGACGUCAAGUCCUCAUGCCCCUUAUGUCCAGGGCUUCACGCAUGCUACAAUGGCUGGUACAGAGAGUGGCGAGCCUGUGAGGGUGAGCGAAUCUCGGAAAGCCGGUCUCAGUUCGGAUUGGGGUCUGCAACUCGACCUCAUGAAGUCGGAGUCGCUAGUAAUCGCAGAUCAGCAACGCUGCGGUGAAUACGUUCCCGGG